UAAGGAGCACCAUCGUCGAAGGACGGUAUGGAGCCAGCGACCUGCGAAUGUCGGGUCGGGGUGCUCAUGGCGGAGAACACUGGUGAGUUCGAUCCUGGCAACGGCUAGGACGCCUGGUACGGCCACUUCGGUGGUGUGGAACGGUUGGUUGUGGUGCGGCUGGGGAGGAUGGAUAGCACCCUGUUGGGUCCUGAAGGAACAACCGUGGGUUGUUUCUUUCGGAGCCUUGGCCAGCACGUGAGUUCUGGGGGCUGAGCCCAUGGCCUGGUCUCGCAUACCGUCGACGUGUGUCUUGUGGGUUGGUCGUUUGUUUGAGAAUUGCACAGUGGACGCGAGCAUCUUUGUGGUCAA
rnacentral:misc_RNA from 1 species